rnacentral:rRNA from 1 species
UACGAAGGGGACUAGCGUUGUUCGGAAUCACUGGGCGUAAAGCGCACGUAGGCGGAUAUGUCAGUCAGGGGUGAAAUCCCGGGGCUCAACCUCGGAACUGCCCUUGAUACAGCAUAUCUUGAGUCCGGUAGAGGUGGGUGGAAUUCCUAGUGUAGAGGUGAAAUUCGUAGAUAUUAGGAAGAACACCGGUGGCGAAGGCGGCCCACUGGAUCGGUACUGACGCUGAGGUGCGAAAGCGUGGGGAGCAAACAGG